UGCGGUCCACAUUCAACAUAGGAGCUUAAAACAUCAAGGGGGUGUCACCACUUUGAUGUUCGUGCUACUCGGUCGAAUCUGGCGGUGUUCGCAGAAGAGGCGGCCUACAUUGGCUUCGAAGCGAAGUCAACCGAUGAUCAUGAAAACAGACCCGCUGUGUGACACGAACAAGGUGGAUCAACCGGAGGAACUCACUGAGGCCAAUCGCUCCCAAAACCGUGCGUCUUUAACUUCACAACACGCCAUCAUGACAAGCCUGGCGAAGAACGAUGAAGACGAGGAGGAGGCGGCGAGGGAGAGGAGGCGCAGGGCGCGCCAGGACAGGAUGAAGGGCAGGGACGGGGAGGAGCCCUGUGGACAGACUGACGGCGGGACCAACAGCCACAG
ensembl:lncRNA